rnacentral:misc_RNA from 1 species
GAGGCAAUUAUGAAAGCACGGAAAAACAUAGGAUUGAUCCAUGAUGGACAAGAGGAAGAAUUCUUGGAUCAUAUAGUCAAUCGGAUCUCGUUUGACCUCCUUUGCAACCAGAAGAUCUGGGUUUCUCCAUUGAAGAAACGCCAUAGGGAGGGCAAGUGGCGCGUGCGUGUGGGUUAGUGUUUUGUUCUGUUGUUUGAGAAGUAUGGUUUCCAUUGUCUCUUGGAAUUCAAGAGGGUCGGGAGGUGGUGCUAAGAAAGUACAUUUAAAGAGCUUAUUAAAAGAUUCAAGGUGGACGUGGUAGCUAUAUUGGAAACAAAAUGCAGCUCAAUUUCUUUCUCUUUAGUUAGACAAGUUUGGGGGAUGGGAGAUCUAGAUUGGAAUUCAGUUGAUGCAUGUUGGCUUUCUGGAGGUAUAUUGGUUAUCUGGAAUAAGGACUUCUUUCAAGCUGUCAAUAGGCAAUCUUUUGCUAGAUGGGUGUUAAUUUCUAGGUUAUUUUUGACAGAGAACUUCUCAGCAUCCUUGGCUUUUGUAUACAGCCCUUGUGAUGUCCAAGAAUAGGCAAGAGUUUGGGAUGAAAUUUACCAGGAGCUUCAAAGUUGUAAUAAUCCUCCUAUUCUAAUGGGAGACUUCAACUAGAUUUUAGAUGCAAGAGAUCGAAGCAAUGGUUGGAAUUUGAUGGCAGGUAUGAGAAAAUUCAGAUUGCUAGCCAAUAACCUUAAUCUCAUUGAUAUUGCUCUCAAGGGUAGGCAAUUUAUUUGGAGGAACUCAAAUUCAAAGAGCCGAAUAGGUAGAGCCUUAGCAAUCCACCAAUGGCUCUCUCGAUUCCGAAUACGCAGCUAAAUGGUUUGUCUAGAGGAAGUUCAGAUCAUAAUUUGAUUUUAUUAAUGAUUGAAGCAUUAGAUUGGGGCCCCAAGCCGGUAAGAUUUCUUGAUGCUUGGUGGACCUGGCCAAAAUUUGGGGAUACUUUGAAGCAAUUUUGGUAUGAAAUUACUACGUCAUACCAAGCGUCUCCACUUCCUUUGAAAAUCAAACUGCUCAAGCAAAAAUUGAAGCUAGGGAACUUAUCCGUAUUUGGACAUUCAGAUCAAAAUUAAAGGAGAUAGUUUCUUCUUUGGACAAAUGGGAGGAAGUGGCCGAGAGUAGAACUUUGACAACUUCUGAGAAUGCGCAAGUUCAAGAGUUAAGAUCUGAAAAAAUGGUCUGGUGUCCUUGCAAUGAAUUUUUAUGGAAGCAGAAAGCUAGGAUUUGUUGGUGUAAAUUGGGUGAUCGAAACACCAAAUUUUUUUCAUUUAAAUUGUUCGAAGAAUCAUUGUUGAUCAUUUUAAAUAGAGAUUUUC